rnacentral:lncRNA from 1 species
CUGCACAGCUGGUCACAUCUGUGUUGUGUGUGUGUGUGUUGUGUGUGUUUUAGGUAUGACAGUAAACUCCAGUCUGCUGGCUGCAGUCCUGACGGUGGUGUCAGUGAUGUCACUGAGUCUGCUGUCCAUACUGUGUCUGCGAUGCAAAAAGAAAUCCAAAAUUAUACACGAGGAGCCUCAGACAUACAACCCACAGACGUUCCAACGAGGUGGAAGCAAGUUUGAAGUGACGCGAUCAAAAACAGGUGAAAUAAACCCAGAGUUGAUCAUGUGUGACCAUCACUCCCUUUAUAUUUGCACAUUUAAUUAACUUCAGGCUUUUUUUUUCAGU